rnacentral:lncRNA from 1 species
CUGGAUCGAGCAGUCAGGAAGAGAGACCUCCACAGCGGGGUACAAUCUUUGCCACUAAUAGAUCAGAGGCAGAGAAGGCCGGCACAGUAGUGACAGGUACAUUACCAGUGUUAGGGCAUUUUGCCUUGACCUUGUUUGACUCGGGAUCUUCUCAUUCAUUUAUUUCAUCGCUUUUUGUGACGCAUGCAUGCUUAGAGGUGGAACCCUUAGACUAUGUUUUGUCAGUGUCUACACCGUCUGGAGAAAUUAUGUUGUCUAAGGAAAAGAUUAAAGCAUGUGAAAUUGAGAUAGCUGGUCGUGUGCUGGACGUAACCUUGUUGGUAUUAGAUAUGCGUGACUUUGAUGUAAUUUUAGGUAUGGAUUGGCUAGCUACUAAUCAUGCUAGUAUUGAUUGUUCUCGUAAGGAAGUUGUGUUCAGUCCCCCUACUGCAUCUAGCUUUAAAUUCAAGGGGUAGGAACAGUAGUACUGCCUAAAGUAAUCUCAGCUAUGAAAGCUAGUAAACUACUCAACCAGGGUACUUGGAGUAUUUUGGCAAGUGUGGUAGAUACUAGGGAAGGUGAGACUUCUUUAACUUCCGAACCUGUGGUAAGAGACUACCCAGAUGUAUUUCCAAAAGAUCUUCCAGGACUACCGCCACAUAGAGAGGUUGAUUUUGCCAUUGAGUUGGAGCCAAAUACUACUCCUAUUUCUAGAGCCCCUUAUAGGAUGGCUCCUGCUGAGUUGAAAGAACUGAAGGUACAGUUACAGGAAUUGCUUGACAAAGGCUUUAUUCGACCUAGUGUGUCACCUUUGGGGUGCACCAGUAUUGUUUGUGAAGAAGAAGGAUGGGUCGAUGCGUCUUUGCAUUGACUAUAGAGAGUUGAAUAAAGUAACAGUCAAGAACAGAUAUCCUUUACCCAUAAUCGAUGAUUUGUUCGAUCAGUUACAGGGAGCCACGGUGUUCUCUAAGAUUGACUUACGGUCAGGUUAUCACCAUUUGAGGAUUAGAGACCGUGAUAUUCCUAAGACUGCUUUUCGUUCGAGGUAUGGACAUUAUGAAUUCAUAGUAAUGUCUUUUGGUUUGACUAAUGCACCUGCUGUAUUUAUGGAUUUGAUGAACAGGGUGUUUAAGGAUUUCUUGGACACUUUUGUGAUAGUCUUCAUUGAUGAUAUUUUGGUUUAUUCCAAGACUGAAGCCGAACAUGAGGAACACUUACAUAAGGUGUUAGAGACUCUUCGAGUCAAUAAACUGUAUGCUAAGUUCUCUAAGUGCGAAUUUUGGUUGAAGCAGGUGGCUUUUCUUGAUCAUGUGGUUUCCAGUGAGGGAGUUUCAGUAGACCCAGCAAAGAUAGAAGCGGUUACCAGUUGGUCUCGACCCUCUACAGUUAGUGAGGUUCGUAGUUUUCUGGGUUUAGCAGGGUACUACCGGAGGUUUGUGGAGGAUUUUUCACGUUUGGCUACUCCUUUGACUCAGUUGACAAGGAAGGGAACUCCGUUUGUUUGGAGUCCAGCUUGCGAGGACAGUUUUCAGAACUUAAAGCAAAGGUUAGUUACUGCACCGGUCCUUACUGUACAAGAUGGAUCUGGAAGUUUUGUGAUUUACAGUGAUGCUUCCAAGAAAGGACUAGGUUGUGUUUUGAUGCAGAAAGGUAAGGUGGUUGCUUAUGCUUCUCGUCAGUUGAAGAGUCACGAGCAGAACUACCCCACACAUGAUUUGGAGUUGGCAGCAGUGGUUUUUGCAUUGAAGAUAUGGAGACAUUACUUGUACGGUGAAAAGAUACAAAUCUUUACUGACCAUAAGAGCCUAAAGUACUUCUUCACUUAGAAGGAGUUGAAUAUGAGACAGCGAAGGUGGCUCGAGUUGGUAAAAGAUUAUGACUGUGAGAUAUUGUACCAUCCUGGUAAGGCGAAUGUGGUGGCUGAUGCUCUUAGUAGAAAAGUAUCACAUUCGGCAGCACUCAUUACUAGACAGGUACCAUUGCAUCGAGACUUGGAGAGAGCUGAGAUUGCAGUGUCUGUGGGGAGAGUCACCUCACAGCUGGCUCAAUUAACGGUGCAACCGACUCUGAGGCAGAAAAUUGUUGAUGCUCAGAGUAGUGAUCCUUAUUUGAUGGAGAGACGUCGCCUUGUUGAAACAGGGCAGAUUGAUGAGUUCUCCAUAUCCUCUGAUGGUGGGUUGAUGUUUGAAAGACGUUUGUGUGUGCCAGCGAACAGUACAGUUAAGAUUGACUUACUAGAUGAAGCCCAUAAUUCCCCAUUUUCAAUGCAUCCUGGUAGCACGAAAAUGUAUCAGGAUUUAAAACGAUUUUACUGGUGGCGGAAUAUGAAAAGGGAAGUGGCGGAAUUUGUUAGUAAGUGUCUAGUAUGUCAGCAAGUUAAGGCACCUAGACAGAAACCAGCAGGUUUGUUACAACCCUUAAGUGUGCCAGAGUGGAAGUGGGAGAAUGUGUCGAUGGAUUUUAUUUCAGGGCUGCCUAAGACCCUGAAGGGUUUCACAGUGAUUCUGGUUGUCAUAGACAGGCUUACGAAAUCGGCACAUUUUGUACCAGGAAAAUCCACUUAUACUGCUAGUAAGUGGGCAGAGUUGUAUUUAACUGAGAUUGUGAGACUGCAUGCAGUACCUGUAUCGAUUGUUUCUGAUAGGGAUGCACGGUUUACUUCCAAGUUUUGGAAGGGACUUCAGACUGCUAUGGGUACGAGAUUGGAUUUUAGUACAGCCUUUCAUCCACAGACUGAUGGUCAAACUGAACGUUUGAACCAAGUUUUAGAGGAUAUGCUACGAGCUUGUGUUAUAGAGUUUCCAGGUAGUUGGGACUCUCAUCUACAUUUGAUGGAGUUUGCUUAUAACAACAGUUUCCAGGCUACCAUCGGUAUGGCACCAUUUCAGGCUUUGUAUGGCAAAUGUUGUAGAACCCCUGUUUGUUGGAGUGAGGUUGGUGAACAUAGAUUGAUGGGACCUGAAUUAGUUCGGUCUACUAAUGAGGCUAUUCAAAAGAUUAGAGCACGUAUGCAAACAGCGCAGAGUAGACAGAAGAGUUAUGCGGAUGUACGACGAAAAGACCUUAAGUUCGAUGUGGGAGAAAAGGUAUUCUUGAAGGUAGCACCUAUGAAGGGUGUUAUGCGUUUUGAGAAGAAAGGAAAGUUAAGUCCUCGUUUUGUUGGACCAUUUGAGAUCUUAGAGAGGGUUGGUGUUGUGGCGUAUCGCUUGGCAUUACCACCAUCUCUCUCUGCAGUUCAUAAUGUUUUCCAUGUUUCGAUGUUGAGGAAGUAUGUGGCCGAUACAUCUCAUGUAGUGGACUAUGAACCCUUGGAGAUUGAUGACCAUUUGAGCUAUGUAGAACAACCUGUGGAGAUUCUGGCUAGAGAGGUAAAGAUGCUUCGUAAUAGAAGCAUUCCAUUAGUAAAGGUUUUGUGGCAGAAUCAUCGAAUUGAAGAGGCGACAUGGGAGCGAGAAGAAGAGAUGAGGACUCGUUAUCCAGAGUUAUUUCAGGAUUAGAACUUUCGAGGACGAAAGUUUCUUAAGGAGGGAAGAAUGUAAUGCCCAAAGAAAAGGUAAAUAUAUAUAUAUAUAUAUAUAUAUAUAUAUAUAUAUAUAUAUAUAUAUAUAUAUAUAUUAUUUUAAUAUUAAAAAAAAUUCUUUAUUAUUUUUCUUUUCUUCUUUUUCUUUUUCUUUUCUUUUCUCCCUUCUUCUUCUGCGUGCGCGCCGAUCCCUUCCCCCUUCUCUCCCGUUCGCAAACUGUCGCCUCCCUUCCCUUCCGUUUUUCUUUCCGCCGCAACCACCACCUCUAUCUUCUUCUUCCCGUCCCGCCGCAGCCAACCGCAGCCAGCCGCCGAUCCUUUCCUUCCAUUUUCUUCUUCCGUCCGCAGCCCCGCCGCGAAGCAAGACCGCGCCGCUGCCAGUCCAAAUCUGCGGCGCCGUUGCUCUUUCGCCGCUGCCCAACCGUCUCAGCCGGUUCUGUCUCUGUCGAAGCCACGGUUCUGCAACCGUCUCUGCCGUCUCUAUCUCCGUCCGCGAGGCAAGUCGCACGCCUCAGUCACGAACAGCCUCGCCGAUGCAGGUCACGCCGCAUUGCACGAAGUCGGCUACGUUGCCGGGCUACUCCCGUCCGCGCGUAACUGCUGUUGAACGUCCGAACCGUUCUGCCUUCGUCGAUACCCGCUGUCCCAUUUACGAAUCGCGGACCAGUUCGAGUGCAAAAGUGUUUUGCACGAUGUCUUUUGUGUAGAUCCUGCGGCAACUUCUAUUUAACGUCGAUUGUCAAAGUCUUGUUACAAGAUAUUGGUAAGGAUGAGAUUGUUCGGUAAUAAGGUCUUACAUUUGUAAAUACAUUAAGAUGUGAUGUUGUUUAAUUGGUUGAAUUGAUCUUUGUUCUUGAAGGCGACAUCGGUGAUUUGGAGUUAGUGUCCUUGAGUUACGCCUUAAGCUUUGUUGGAGUUCAAUUCUUUACUCUUGGGGUUUGUUUGUUGAAGUUAGUUCGACUAAGGAAUUUUACAUAAAGAUCCAGGUAAGGGAUUUUCUACUGGACUCAAUUGUGAUUGUGAACUGUAUGUGUGUUGAAUGUAUACUGUGGGCUGACUGAAAAUAUAUAUGAAUGUAUAUGAAUUGAAGUAGACUUGACGUCGAAUGUAUGUCGUGAUUGUCAUGGAAUCUAUAUAUAAAUGUGUGUAUGUGGACAGGACGGAGAUUAUAGAUUGUGUUUGUAUGAGAUUCUCGUUUAGAUUGGGUGUAUGAUUACGCUAAAGUAUGACUGUGUGCUGGUGAACUGAGGGGUGCAUUGACUGUAUAGUGGAUUGACUGAUGUAUUAGCAUAUUAUUGACAGACAUAUGACUGUAGUAAAAUAAGUUGACUGUUAGGAUGUUGAAAGAAAGAACUUUGUGACUUGAAGUAACUGAAAGAUGGGUUGAAUGGAAUGAGGGGAUAAAUUGUUAGAUUGUAUUGGGAUGUUUACCUUGUAGGUGUCCCACGGGAUCACCAAUUUAUUGUGCACCUUCGGGAGCAUUUGACUGAUAUGUGUUUCUGCAGAACACUAGACUGAUAUGUUCGUCCCUCGGGGCGUUAGACUGAUAUGUACGUCCCUCGGGGCGUUAGACUGAGAUGUGUAUCCUACGGGAUCACCAGACUGCGACUGUACAGGGUGUUCCAAUAGAACUUUAACAAUUUAUUUUCCCCUGACGAGACCAGUAGAGGGUCUCUUACUGAGUAUUUAAAAUACUCACCCUUCUUAUGUUUAAUUUUCAGGCAAAGGUAAUAAAGGCGGCAAACAGGCGAGGGGCAGGAAGGAAGCGUGAUGCCAUAGGAAACGUGUUUUUGCUUCCGCUUAUGGGUUCUUGUGAGGUUUAAAAUGAAUUGAAAUUUAGUUUACAAACGUUUGUUGUAAAUAGUACUAUUUUAUGUUUUCUUGAAUGUUUAAAAAUCAGGCAUGACUUGAAGAUGUUUUUUUUUAUUUGUUUACGUUUUGUUUUAU